AUUUUUGCCACCAGUCGAGGGGCCAGAGCUCACACAGACAGUGGCACAGAGAGAGAGAGAGAGAGAGAGAGUGAGGCAGGUAGAAGAGGCACAUCCACAUCCUGCUCUGCUCUGUCAGAGCUUGUCCUUUUGUUUCGGCUCCUGCAGCAUUGGCUGCACAAAGUCAACAUAAUCCAGAGAGCCCUGGCCCCUCCCGGGCCAGCCAGUGCUGGCCCUCGCUCCGGCAUCAGGCUUCAAAAAUCCCAAUGUGGUCGGCGCUGUGGCUCAUUAAUCCAUGCAGUCGAAUGGUAGACGCAGACCCUCCACAUGGCCUGUUUUUGCUUUGCUUUCCUUCAGUUUCUGGUCUCCACAUCUAUCCAUCUACUCUCAAAAGCAAGCUGUGUUGUGGGAGCCGAGACCCAUAAAUCAGACGCCUGCGGGCAGUUCAUCAUCAUCACCAUCCUCGUCGUGGUCUCAGCCCCAUUCCCAUCCCCAGACCCAUCCAUAGCCCCAGCUGGACUCGCAAAUUAGUUGCGUAGCGCGCAUGAAUGUCACCAUUUUUCUCGCUCAAUUUGCUACGCAAAUUAUAAACACCAAAUGGAAAUUGUAAUCCAAAAACCAGAAGCAGAAUACUGAACUUCCCAGACGUUUAGCUACCCUUCAGUGACGGACUGGACGAGGAAUGUCCUGUAUCAAGGCCAUUCGAAUGUACCCCCAGCAAAGGUCGCAGCCGCAGCCGCAGCUUUAAGCAGCCUCGAGGCCAGAGCUGAAGCUGGAGCUCUCUCUCCACAGCCAAAAUAUAAUAAAAUUCGCAUAAAAAUCAUUUCGAAGCAGCUUCAGCUCCUUAGCUCUUCAGCUGCUUUCCCACCGAAGAAGAAGAUAUGUAUGGUCUGAGCCAAGCUGCUUAAAAUUUUGAAAAUGCUUCGUUUUCUUGCACUGUCGUCCACUGUGCAGGAAGACACUGAGCCUGGAUGUCACCCACUGUCUACCCACUCACCCACGGCCUGCAGUUGUCUGGCAAGCAGCCCAGAAGUUGGUUUCUGCAGUCGGAUGAAGUUGGCUCUGCUAAAUGGCCAACGGACUGGCUGGAUGUCUGAUGGCUGAAUGGCUGGUUGGCUGGUUGGCUGGCUGACCAGUCCAUGAUGUCGCGCCUAUCACAACCAAUUUACUAACGAAGCAGAUAAAUCCAAUUUCUGGCCGACAGCAGCUAAGCUGCUUGAAAAAAUACUGCUUGAAAAAAAAAGAAGAAAAAAAGAGGGCAGCACUUCCUGGCUGGAGACAAUUUCCGCUUCCGCUUGGAUUGACCGGCGCCUGGAAUGGACUCAACCCCGAUACCAUGUCGUGGGCGAAUCUUGGUUUAUUAAGCUGAUCAUCAGGUUUAUUAGCGUUUAGCACUAGGCCAAGGCUCUCCUCAAGAGUGGUCACCAAUUAGGGUGCUUUGUCCUGCCACGAUUUCUUUGAUGUCUUUGUGUGUGAAAACUUUCGAUUCGACGUUAAAUUAAUUAGAUGAAAUAAUUACACAGUCCCCCCGGAAGUGGGUGACUCUCUGGCCCGACUCUCAAAGGAAGCACUCAGGCAGAUUGGAAUGCGGUUGCUCAGAUGAAUUCCUGCUCAACUUGAGAAACACCUUUGUGUCUCUUUCUCUCUCAAUACCUUAGUGCACUACAAAGGCACUACGAAGUGCACUCUUUUUGAACACAGCCACAGCCGCAGGGGGCAACAGCAAAAGGAUGGAUGCUCCGAACACGACUCCGGAGCAUUUUAAUCUACAAUUGAGGCUUGCAACAGAGGCUUCUCCCAAGACAUCUGCUCGGUCAGUAAAGACAUUUUAAUUUGUUUUUUGGUAAUUCAGUACAGUUUGGGCUUUCAUUUUGAUUUUAAG